UAGCAUUGAAAUGGAUGGCAUCUGAUCCUGCUUCAUGUGAUUCCUCAUUUAGCUCUGGACUCUUUACAUCAUUAAGGUACCCUGAAUAUAUUCAGUAUGCUUUUUCUUUGCGGGAAUUUAAAAGCAACCCUAUGAAUAUAACAUUUGUCAAAAAGAGCAAGUGCCAAGCCAGUUGAGAAUAACCUUACAAUGUGUACAAGGAUUCCAGUCUGCUGCUAUAUAAACCAGCCUCAAAUAGUCUGAGUCUGUGAUAUCACUGGGUCACUGCCAUCACUUCAGUAGAAGGCUUGCCACUGCCUGACAUGUGAAAGAGAGCAUCCAGGAUAAGCCACCUGUCAAAUUGUCAGCUUUAUGCAGAUAUACAAGUGACAGGUUUGAGAUCAGCCCAGCCCAAUCAACAGAGAAAUAUCCCAGUAG
rnacentral:lncRNA from 1 species